ensembl:lncRNA
UUUACACUUGUGAAAUUAACAAGCCCUUUCCAACAUUGCUCACACAGGCUGCAGACCACAGCGCAGUGUUUGCAUCGUGUGCUGUUUAUUUGUUAUAAAGCGUAUUUGAGGAAGGACAGAACAUAUUUAAGUCUGAUUCUGUGACUAUUAAUAGUUAGACAAUGGUGUGUGCUCUCCACUUGUACGCUUACCCUCAGAUAACAAGUGUUCUACUAGUGCAACAGCUCUGCUGCGUGAAAACCGUCCAGGAUAAGAGGUGAAGGGGAUUUUCCUGUUGGCUUAGAAGAAGGAAGAGGGCCCAGGAGCAGGGCAGUGAGGCCUAUGACACAGAUACUAAGGUCAUAAAGAGCUCCAGUGGUGACUCUAAUUGAGUAGGAGACCACUCUAACCACCUUUAAAAAGACUUUAAAGGGAAAACGACCUUACCUAUACCAAGUGCCUAACAGGCAUCCGGGGAACACGUAAAUGUGUGGUGGAAUUCUUAAAAAUAUUUUAGGAGGAGAUCCUGAGAAAAGUCUAGAAUUUCUGCCGAUUAAAUAGGUAAUGAGAACUCCAAUCAACAAGAUUUGAGAUGUUGCUGUAAAUUAGACAUAUUUCUAGUUACCAGCAGGUGAAACUGAGGACAUACCAGUCAAGGUAUUUGACUGUGACCAUAAUGAAAAUGCAUAUGUUGUAUGUUUCAUAAAAGCAAAUGUAAAACUUCAUAUGAAUGUUUCAACUGGGAUUCAUAAUGUCCAUGUGAGUUAGAUGUGGAGGGAAAAACAAAACUCUUUUUCUGUAGGAAAGGGCACCAAUGUAUAUUGAAAUGGAAGAAGUUGACCGGGAAUCCCAAGUCCUUUGCAGUUUAAACCUAAUGUUUCUCUUACAUCAUGCUAUGCUAUCCACAUGAUUGAUUGAUUGAUUGAAAUUUUAUUUUGAAUAAACUUUUCACUGUUUAUUUUUUCUGAAAACUACAAUAUGGCGAAUUGUAUAUAUGAAAGAAUGUUGAAAUCCUAAAGUGUGAUAGACAUGAAACUUAUCAUAUUAUUACUGACACUUAAAUAAAUAGUUUAAUAACAGGAUACUAUGACAUUAUGCUGAUUUCCUGACUAGUGAAGUUAAGAUUUGUUAAGUUUUUAUUUGAGGACAAUAAAAAUAUUAAUAAUUUGUGAGAUUGCAAAACACAUCCAGAAAAAUAUAAAUGUGUCAAGAUGCAUCAAUAUUAAUUUGAAAAAAUUAUGUACUGAAAACAAUAAUCUGUAUAGGGAUUUUUUUUAAAGAACAGAACGUGUUUGCUAGAAAAUACUCAUUUUUAACCAGCAUGAUUAUGGAUAAAUUAAACAGAAUAAGAUGGUGAUGUAGCAUUGGUCUGAGGGAUUUCAGCAGAAAAUACUCCUACUUCCAGUGUGAUCCAUUUGCUGGCUGUCUUCAGUUAGUCGGCAGUUUCCAACAACUCUUUUCGGUGUCUAAAUGAAACUAUAAGAAUGGAAUCUGAAAUAUUGCCACUGUACAACAAAGCAGUGGUUUCUGUUAAAUAUCAGAACUGGUUUGCAUUCAAAGGUGAGAUGAAAGUAGAAAACACUUCACUUGGGCUGGCUUCACUCGGCACACAAAUAUUUCAUUGAAGGCCUGGUGGCGCACACAUGCUGUCUAUCAUUAAAUUUGCUUUACACAGCGUAAAAGGUAUCCUGUCACCAGUUCCAAUCACUUGACCAGAAAUACCUGGUUGACCCUUGGAGUUGUUUUAUUUUGCUUUGCUUUUUCCAUCCCUACAUACCAUGUAUAGAUUAUGCCCAUAAAAGAGAAGAAAAUUAAAAAUCUACAAACUUCCAUGCACAAUUCUCAUCUUUGUAUUAGGCCUGAGAAAAAAUUAACAGAUAUGUCAUGAGUAAUAAUAAAAAUAGCAAAGCACACCUGAGAACAGUGGCUAACACAGAUAAGCUGACUGUCGGCCUAAUUGAUAUAAAUAAUUUUUCUCAGUGUAAGUUUAUUCGUUAAAUAUUUUUUUUUAAGUUAGCAAGCAGCACCUAGUAUCAGUUCUUAUAAACCAUCUCGGCAGCAGUUGGCUUUGCAUAGGAUUAAAGCCAAGCUGAAGUGUAGGAAGGGAAGGAAAUAGCAAGCCACUGCUCAGAGGAUCGUCCUCAGGGACCUCUUCUCUGCCAUCAGCGAGUCCAAUGUUGAUUAGAUCUUCAGACUUCAUGCAGUCUGUUGUGAGGUGCAGGCUUUACCGAGGCAGAAUAAGAAAGUGUAUACUG